rnacentral:piRNA from 1 species
GAUCUGGUGCUCUCUGCUGGCAUGCAGGC